GAACCCGUAGCUCAGCUGGCUAGAGCAUAACACUUUUAAUGUUGGGGUCCUGGGUUCGAGUCCCAGCGGGUUCA
rfam:Sphingobacteriales bacterium BACL12 MAG-120813-bin55 contig00620, whole genome shotgun sequence.